rnacentral:rRNA from 1 species
UACGUAGGUGGCAAGCGUUGUUCGGAAUUACUGGGCGUAAAGGGCGCGUAGGCGGUCCGAUAAGUCCUGUGUGAAAUCCCUCGGCUCAACUGAGGAACUGCACGGGAGACUGUCGGGCUUGAGUUCGGGAGAGGGAAGCGGAAUUCCGGGUGUAGCGGUGAAAUGCGCAGAUAUCAGGAGGAACACCAAUGGCGAAGGCAGCUCGCUGGGACGUGACUGACGCUGAGACGCGAAAGCGUGGGGAGCAAACAGG